rnacentral:rRNA from 1 species
GAGUUUGAUCGUGGCUCAGAUUGAACGCUGGCGGCAUGCCUUACACAUGCAAGUCGAACGGCAGCAUGAUCUAGCUUGCUAGAUUGAUGGCGAGUGGCGAACGGGUGAGUAAUACAUCGGAACGUGCCCUGUAGUGGGGGAUAACUAGUCGAAAGAUUAGCCAAUACCGCAUACGACCUGAGGGUGAAAGUGGGGGACCGCAAGGCCUCAUGCUAUAGGAGCGGCCGAUGUCUGAUUAGCUAGUUGGUGGGGUAAAGGCCCACCAAGGCGACGAUCAGUAGCUGGUCUGAGAGGACGAUCAGCCACACUGGGACUGAGACACGGCCCAGACUCCUACGGGAGGCAGCAGUGGGGAAUUUUGGACAAUGGGCGAAAGCCUGAUCCAGCAAUGCCGCGUGUGUGAAGAAGGCCUCGG